GUGGCUGUAGCUGAGAGGUAAAGCAGUCAUCUUCCAGCUGAAGGGUUUGUGGUUAGAUUCCUGGCAGCUGCA
rnacentral:tRNA from 1 species